GCGGCACCCGAAACGGUCGCCGGAGCAGCGUCCCCGGAUGCCGCUCCGGAGGAAAGUCCGGACACCACAAGGCAGCGUGCCGCGUGAUGAACGCGGGCGGCGGAGGGCGAAAGCCACCACCGACGGAAAGUGUCACAGAAAACAAACCGCCUCCCCGCCGCAAGGUUGGGGGGCAAGGGUGAAAAGGCGGGGUAAGAGCCCACCGCCCCGCGCCGCAAGGCCGGGGGCACGAAAAACCCCGCGCGGUGCAAGACAAACAGGGAAAACAGGCCGCCUGCCUGACCCCGGCGGCUCCGGCCGCAGGGAUAAUCCCGGGUUGGUCGCACCCGGCCGCAAGGCCGGGAAGCCAGGCUGCGAAGCCGGGCUUAGAGGAAUGGCCGUUGAUCCGCCGGGCGACCGGCGGGGGACAGAAUCCGGCUUAUGAAGGUGCCGCCACC
rnacentral:RNase_P_RNA from 1 species